rnacentral:lncRNA from 1 species
GACACAUGAGUCUUAUAGGUAUUUUGAACAUUAGAUGUCACUGAUGGCAGAUUUAAUGAUGUAUCAUCAUAAAUUCCUAUUUUAGUAAGUAAUAAAACAUUUUAUAUUUUAAAUUUGGUCUUUUUGUUAAAUGUACCUGACCCAAAAUCUAAUUUGUGAAAGUAGGACUCUUCAGCACUGGUUUUCAUGUUACUAUAUUGGUAUUUUAUGUAUUAACUGGUAAGAACUGAAAGCAUAUAAUAAUAACCACAACAACAACUAAAGCAAGUGUUAAUUAGAGGAAGAAUGAGGGAGACAGGCAUGUGAUGAUAUAAGUAUAGGUAAUAGUAUGGAACUGAGUACAGUUGAAGAGAGGAAAAGUGUGUCUUCGUCAUUCCCUUGCCUUUCCUUAGAGCUUUUCUUUCCAUUAAGCUCCCUUAAAACAAGAUACUCAUUCCCUGUUCUUCACAGUGCACUCCCUGUCUGAAAGAUAGAGAUUUGUAUAUGGGCAACCUGAAAAGGUGGCCUUUAAAAAAAAAAAAAAAAAAUUAACUUUUUUUUUUUUUUUAGUUAUUGAUAGACCUUUAUUUAAUUUAUUUAUUUAUACGUGGGGCUGGGAAUUGAACCCAGUGCCCACACAUGCCAGGCAAGUGUGCUACUGCUGAACCCCAGCCCCUUAAAAAAUUAAUUAGAUUUUUG